rnacentral:rRNA from 1 species
AGUUAAAACUCAAAUGAAUUGACGGGGACCCGCACAAGCGGUGGAGCAUGUGGUUUAAUUCGAUGCAACGCGAAAACCCUUACCUACUCUUGACAUACUNGGAAGCUCUUGUAAUGAGAGUGUGCUUUAGAGCCAAGAUACAGGUGCUGCAUGGCUGUCGUCAGCUCGUGUCGUGAGAUGUUGGGUUAAGUCCCAUAACGAGCGCAACCCUUACCCUUAUUUGCCAGCGGUUCGGCCGGGAACUAUAAGGGGACUGCCGGUGACAAACCGGAGGAAGGUGAGGACGACGUCAAGUCAUCAUGGCCCUUACGAGUAGGGCUACACACGUGCUACAAUGGGGAAUACAGACGGACGCUAAAGCGUGAGCUGGUGCUAAUCCUAAAAAAUUUCUCGUAGUCCGGAUUGCAGUCUGCAACUCGACUGCAUGAAGUCGGAAUCGCUAGUAAUCGCGAAUCAGCAUGUCGCGGUGAAUACGUUCUCGGGUCUUGUACACACCGCCCGUCACACCAUGGAAGUGUGUUGCACCAGAAGUAGGUAGUCUAACCUUCGGGAAGGCGCUUACCACGGUGUGAUCCAUGACUGGGGUGAAGUCGUAACAAGGUA